rnacentral:rRNA from 1 species
GGUUGACCUCGGAUCAGGUAGGAAUACCCGCUGAACUUAAGCAUAUAUAGGGGGGGGGAAAAAA